rnacentral:rRNA from 1 species
GGGGGGGGGGGGGGGGGGGGGGGGCGCGGGCGGGGGGGGGGGGGGGGCCCGGCGUUUGUGGGGGGCGCGAGUGGCGGGCGGGUGAGUAACACGGGGGUAACCUGCCCUUGACUUGGGGAUAACUUCAGGAAACUGGGGCUAAUACCGGAUAGGAGCUCCUGCUGCAUGGUGGGGGUUGGACAGUUUCGGCGGUUGGGGAUGGACUCGCGGCUUAUCAGCUUGUUGGUGGGGUAGUGGCUUACCAAGGCUUUGACGGGUAGCCGGCCUGAGAGGGUGACCGGCCACAUUGGGACUGAGAUACGGCCCAGACUCCUGCGGGAGGCAGCAGUGGGGAAUAUUGCACAAUGGGCGGAAGCCUGAUGCAGCAACGCCGCGUGCGGGAUGACGGCCUUCGGGUUGUAAACCGCUUUCGCCUGUGACGAAGCGUGAGUGACGGUAAUGGGUAAAGAAGCACCGGCUAACUACGUG